rnacentral:ncRNA from 1 species
UGUCACAACGGCUUCCUGGCGUGGCACUUAUUAUAAUGGAGC